CGCUGAUGGAAGCAUCCAGGUCAAGAAACCCACAGAGCAGAGUCCAAUAGGUGACUCCAGAGGAGCAGGAUGUGCCAUGUGCCUCAAUCACUCUCACCAGGAACAGGGUGCUCUCACUGAACUCACCCUGGAAAAGAUGCUUCAGUACACGUGCCAUUCCGACAACACACCCCCUCCCCAAUCCAAGGCAGCGCGAAGUACGAAAACUAAAUCCAUGUUUGCUUUUCAUUCA